AAGUGUAAGUCUCUAAAACCGAUUGCCAUGGUGUGACAAUGUUAUGCCUCUAAAGCUUGUUGCCAUGGUGUGCCAAUUGUAAGUCUCUAAAACUGACUGCCAUGGUGUGCCAAUUUUAUGCACCUAAAGUUGCCAUGAUGUGCCAAGUUUAUACAUCUAAAACGGAUUGCCAUGAUGUACCAGUUUUAUGCAUCUAAAGCUGACUGCCAUGGUAUGCCAAUUGUAUGCAUCUAAAGCGGAUUGCCAUGGUG